UGAAUACGAGACGCUAAGGCGUCGAAGUAGUGUAUGUCAUACUUCCAAGAAAAGCUUGCACUGUCAUAAGUAAAAAAUGCCUGUACCAUAACCGACACAGGUGGGUAGGUAGAGUAUACUAAGGGGCGCGAGAUAACUCUCUCUAAGGAACUCGGCAAAAUAACUCCGUAACUUCGGGAGAAGGAGUACCUUAUUCUAUAAGGUUGCAAUAACAAGAUCCAAGCAACUGUUUAUCAAAAACACAGGUCUCCGCUAAGUCGUAAGACGAUGUAUGGGGGCUGACGCCUGCCCAGUGCCAGAAGGUUAAAGAAGUCGGUUAGCAUUAGCGAAGCUGGUAACUGAAGCCCUGGUGAACGGCGGCCGUAACAAUAACGGUCCUAAGGUAGCGAAAUUCCUUGUCGGGUAAGUUCCGACCCGCACGAAAGGCGUAAUGAUUUGGAUACUGUCUCGGAGAGGGGCUCGGUGAAAUAGACUUGUCUGUGAAGAUGCGGACUACCUGCACCAGGACAGAAAGACCCUAUGAAGCUUUACUGUAACUUGAAAUUGAAAUUGGACUUUAUUCGCGCAGUAUAGGUGGGAGGUGUUGAUUAUAAUCUUGCGGGAUUAUUGGAGCCAUCAGUGAGAUACCACUCUUGUAAUGUUAGAUUUCUAACUUUGAAUCAUUAUCUGGUCAAAGGACAGUUUCAGGCGGGCAGUUUGACUGGGGCGGUCGCCUCCCAAACGGUAACGGAGGCGUACAAAGGUUUCCUCUGAACGGGUGGAAAUCGUAUCUAGAGUGUAAAGGCAUAAGGAAGCUUGACUGUGAGACCUACAAGUCGAACAGGGACGAAAGUCGGUCUUAGUGAUCUGACGGUACUGAGUGGAAAGGCCGUCACUCAACGGAUAAAAGUUACUCUAGGAUAACAGGCUGAUCUCCCCCAAGAGUUCACAUCGACGGGGAGGUUUGGCACCUCGAUGUCGGCUCAUCGCAUCCUGGGGCGGUAGUACGUCCCAAGGGUUGGGCUGUUCGCCCAUGAAAGCGGUACGCGAGCUGGGUUCAGAACGUCGUGAGACAGUUCGGUCCAUAUCCGGUGUAGGCGUUAGAAUAUUGAGAGGAGCCUUCUUUAGUACGAGAGGACCGAGAAGGACAUACCUCUGGUGUACCAGGUAUCGUGCCAACGGUAAACGCUGGGUAGCUAUGUAUGGAGUGGAUAACCGCUGAAAGCAUCUAAGUGGGAAGCCCACCUCAAGAUAAG
rnacentral:rRNA from 1 species